rfam:Corchorus capsularis cultivar CVL-1 contig09507, whole genome shotgun sequence.
AUCCCAGAUAAUGGUUCUAAUGAUUAUCUGAUUCAUGAGGGGCAAAGAAUAAGGAUGGAGAGUUCGCUGAUAGCACCUUAAUUUUAAGAAGGUGUUUUGAUAGUACCUCGCCACACAAUU